rnacentral:rRNA from 1 species
ACAAAAAGCUAAAGCUUUUGGUGGUAUACGAUGGAUCCGCGUCUGAUUAGCUGGUUGGCGGGGUAAAGGCCCACCAAGGCGACGAUCAGUAGCCGGCCUGAGAGGGUGAACGGCCACAUUGGGACUGAGACACGGCCCAAACUCCUACGGGAGGCAGCAGUGGGGAAUAUUGCACAAUGGGGGAAACCCUGAUGCAGCGACGCCGCGUGAGUGAAGAAGUAUUUCGGUAUGUAAAGCUCUAUCAGCAGGGAAGAAAAUGACGGUACCUGACUAAGAAGCCCCGGCUAACUACGUGCCAGCAGCCGCGGUAAUACGUAGGGGGCAAGCGUUAUCCGGAUUUACUGGGUGUAAAGGGAGCGUAGACGGCAGCGCAAGUCUGGAGUGAAAUCCCAUGGCUUAACCAUGGAACUGCUUUGGAAACUGUGCAGCUGGAGUGCAGGAGAGGUAAGCGGAAUUCCUAGUGUAGCGGUGAAAUGCGUAGAUAUUAGGAGGAACACCAGUGGCGAAGGCGGCUUACUGGACUGUAACUGACGUUGAGGCUCGAAAGCGUGGGGAGCAAACAGGAUUAGAUACCCUGGUAGUCCACGCUGUAAACGAUGAAUAAUAGGUGUUGG